rnacentral:rRNA from 1 species
AAUGAACGCUGGCGGUAGGCCUAACACAUGCAAGUCGAACGGCAGCACAGUAAGAGCUUGCUCUUACGGGUGGCGAGUGGCGGAAGGGUGAGGAAUACAUCGAAAUCUACUUCUUCGUGGGGGAUAACGCAGGGAAACUUACGCGAAUACCGCAUACAACCUACGGGUGAGGGCAGGCGUUCUUCGGACCUUGUGCGAUGGAAUGAGCCGAUGACGGAUUCGCUAGAUUGCGGGGUAAAGGCGUACAACGGCGACGAUCGGUAGCUGGUCCGAGAGGAUCAUCCCCCACCCGGUAUCUGAGACACGGCCCCGACUCUUACACGAGGCAGCAGUCCAGAAUAUUACACGAUGGAGGAGAGGCUGAUCCAGCCAUACCGCGUGAGUGAUGAACGCCUUCGGGCUGGUGAGCCCUUUUGUUGGUAGAGAAAAACAGCACUUUUAUCCCCGGCGGUAAUGACGGUACCCAAAGAAUAAGCACCGGCUAACUUCGUG